AACUUAUCAUACUUGGAAAAUCU
rnacentral:snRNA from 1 species